UAUAACAUGUGAGUUAUGAAACUCAAAGGUCACAAGAAUGUAACCUUGGUUACAUGUAUGUAACCUUAGUUAGCCCAUCAUUAACUAAGGUUACUCUAUUGGGUAUCUACACAUUGGUCCUACACUUUAUAUGACAAUGUAUUAGCCCCCUUAACAAUAAUGUCCAUAAGACCAUUAAUAUAGGCCAAACCAAAAGAUAGCACAUAACAUAUAAUUAAUCCAUAUAUUGUCCAUAUGUAUGUAGUAUAAAUCCAAAUGUCUAACAAUCUCCCACCAAGUUCUUUCUUUCUUCAUGCUUGCUAAUUUUAGAGGCCUUUGCCUCAAUAGGAUAGCUAAGGUAAGGUCUAUGCCGGCAAUGUUAUAUGGGGGACAUUACCGGUGUAACUCGCCUUAUUUUAACUUCAUAUUUGUUGUAUCUUUCUUUCCUGUUUUUAUUGCUUUUUGUGUAAUUUUACCAUAAUAGGUUGAAUACGGGAAGGUUAGACCGGUUGUUUUUGUAACAACUCCGGCGAUUUGACUCCCUACUCGUAUUUCACCUAUUUAUGGUAUUUUUCCUUUAUUAAUAAAAUCCAAAAUUUGC
rnacentral:lncRNA from 1 species